AGUUUCCCUUUUAAAUGAGGAUCCGAAGAGUCUAGAUAUAUUUAUAAAAGCUGUGCACACAACAAAGGAACUUUACGCAGGAAUGCCAACCAUUCAGAUCACAGCCCUUGAAAAGAUUACAAAACCAUUUUUUGCAGCCAUAUCAGAUGAAAAAGUUCAGCAGAAGCUUUUAAGAAUGUUGUUUGAUUUAUUGGUGAACUGUAAAAACUCACAUUGUGCUCAGACUGUCAGCAGUGUUUUUAAAGGGGUAAGCUGCAAACUUCUUGUAAUUUUUUUAUUAAUGUUUAUAGUCUCUUCCAAGGGACACCAUGUUUAAGAGUCCUGUAUUUUAUAGUGCUUGUAAGAGGUCAGAUGUUACCAUUAACAAAAAUCAUGGGAAAGUAAGUCAUAGGCAUAAAAUAAAAAUUUUAAAUCUUUACCAUUAUUUUAUUUUAUGAAGUAUUUGUUG
rnacentral:sRNA from 1 species